GACGAACGCUGGCGGCGUGCCUAAUACAUGCAAGUCGAACGCAGUGGGGACGGGUGAGUAACACGUGGGUAACCUCCCAUCAGAGGGGAUAACACUUGGAAACAGGUGCUAAACCGAUACUGAUGGAUGGACCCGCGGUGCAUUAGCCAGGUGGGGAGGAAACGGCUACCCAAGGCCACGAUGCAUAGCGGACCUGAGGGGGUGAUCGGCCACACUGGGACUGAGAAACGGCCCAGACUCCUACGGGAGGCAGCAGUAGGAAAUCUUCGGCAAUGGACGAAAUUCUGACCGAGCAACGCCGCGUGAGUGAAGAAGGUUUUCGGAUCGUAAAGCUCUGUUGUUAGAUAAGCGGUAUCUAACCAGAAAGCCACGGCUAACUACGUGCCAGCAGCCGCGGUAAUAC
rnacentral:rRNA from 1 species